AUGAUGGAGGGUGAUGUAAUGGAAUUCCUCAUUGAUGAUUGGAAGCAAGAUCCCGAGAGGAAUGUUGAUUUCUCAUCUAGGAAAAGGGUAUUGCUGAGUCCAUAUUUCAUCACGGUUGUGCUUGACUGUACAUUUUACGGUGAUGAAAAUAAAGUGUUUAAUAUGGAGAGUGCAGCGAGAGAUUUCAAGAGCUAUGUUAAAGAUAAGGAAGACUUGCUUAGUGCCGACCUUAUCAUGAUGCCUCUAUUCAAGCCUAUGAUUUUAGCAAAGGAUAAGAAAGUGAACCACUUUUCCUUAUAUGUCAUGAAUCGGUACCAAAGUAGCGUUGACAUCCUUGACUCUUUAACUUAUCCGAAGAACCACCGUCCUUCAAAGAACACCUAUCAUAAAGACUGCGAGAAGAUUUACAAUGCGAGCAAGCAUCCCAAUUGGGAGCUAUUUGCAAAGAAACCAACAUUUGUCAAGGGUCCACUUCAAGGGCCGAAUGAAUGUGUCCAUUAUACUCUAAAGUAUGCGGGAUCCUAUGAUGGUGAAAAGAUAUCGUUGAGAACAUUCGAGAUAAUGACCCACGUAUUGUUGAUUGGAACGCUGAGGAUCUGUAUAGAGUUGUGUUCAACCGGAAUAGCCAGCUUGUGGUGA
rnacentral:rRNA from 1 species